UGGUGUUUAUAGCAUAGUGGAACCACAUUAAUCCAUCCCGAACUUAAUGGUGAAACGCUAUAGCGGCGAUGAUAUUGAGAGGGGGGCCUCUUGAGAAAGUAGCACGAUGCCAAAUC
rnacentral:rRNA from 1 species